GUUUGCCCUUUAUCUCAGGAACAGUCAGUCUGCAGCUUGCAGGGCAGGAAAAGAUUUGUGUAUCCUUCUCCUGUGAAGAAUAGCUUCUUUCUGCUGCUUCAGCUCAUAGCGCUCGUGCUUCCUCUCCGCGCUUCCUCCAGGAGCUCUGUCAGCCACAGAUGCUUUGCAUGUGUGAGAAAAGCAUGUGUUUGUUCGGGAUUGGAGCACCUUGGCCUUCAGAAACCUUGCAUUUCUGCUAGCGGCGCUGCUUAUGAAUUUACUGCUACCCGCAUGGCUGAGAGGGUGCAAAAUUAAAAAUCGAAUUUCCAAAGCUAAUACAAGAAUUUCUGCGAGAAAUGUGUGCUAAGCCUCAAGAUCAAAGAACAAAGAAUGAACCUCAAGCACGUGUCUCCCUCCUCCUCUUCCCACAUGAAACAUUGAGGUUCUGUCCUUUCGGCAUAACCUCUCCCAAAUGUUCAUACUCCUUUCCUAAGGAAACGGCAUUCGUGUGGCUUCCCUGGCUGAGUGGUGUUACCCAAAAGCUUUGAACUCGCUGCUCAAUUUCAGCUGGACGUGAACAGGAAGACCAAGAUAUCCCAAAGGGAGGUGAGAUGAGAAGAAUAUUCUUGCUGGGGAAGAGACCUGGAGCAGAUCUCCUUCUGUGUGCAGCUGGCAUCUUUGGGUCACCUCUGCUGGCCUGUUUAGCUCUGCAGUCUGUGGAACAAGCUGCCUGUGAUUUGUGAAAAGCUUUUCUCUCAUUCCUUCAUGCACCAUUUUGAAGUCAAAUGGACUUUAAAUGGAGAGAAUGGAUUGGCAAAAGGAGAGAGAUUUGAGUAAGGUUGAGGUAAAUGAAAGCAAAACCCAAGGUCAGAGCUAAUACACAGAUUUCUUUCUUGCGUAUUUUACUCAGGAGAUGUUGCUUAUUCCCCUCUGUACUCUGCAAAGAACUCAUCCUAAUGUUUAAUGCUUCAAAAUGAAGCCAUCGUUGUUGCAUUCAGCCUGCAGAAAUGCUGGUUGUUCUCAUGCCUGUGAGCUGGCUGCUGCAGCUCAUGAGAUUAUUUAUCCCAUCUCUUUGUACUGGGACUGUUGAAAUUCAGAGUUGUCCUGGUUAAGGACACCUGGUUAUGGUGAGCUACUCCGAAGCCUUACAUCAUGUUAAUAAAAAUCAGAAGACACUAGGAGAGAGCAUGAGAGAGAGAAAUUGCUUCUGGACAAAUAUUCUGUGAAUGCUUAAGCUGAAGCUACCCCUAAUGCUGCUCUGCCCUGUUUUCUGCAUCACUCUAGAGCUUCUGUCCAUGACCUUUCUCUAAGCCUUUAGUGUCUUGUUUAUGGGGUUGAAAAAGCACUGCGCAUCCAUCCAAGGGUUUUUUGUUGUUUAUAUGCUGCUGACUUCUUAGUGAAACAAGAUCUCUUACUGAGCAUUAGGAAGCUGUACAGUGAAUUAACUUGAAAGUUAGUGAUGUUUUCUAAACUCGAAAUAGUUGACCAUGGGGCCAGGUUGAGGGGAUAGAAACCCAAGUCAAUACUGGUGCUGUGCGGGAAUUGUCAUAUUAAAGACAUCCUGCCUGCCUGGGGAAUGGUUUGAUGUAUUUGAGAUGUGUAGGUGAAUAAGCUGGGAGGGGACUGUGCCCAGGUGGCCCUUGGACAUUUGUUUGGGAAGGGGCUCUUGGCUUCAGUGUGAGCAAGCUCGAGGUUGGCCACAGCUUUGACACUUUGAAAGGAAAUUCUCAGAAUAUAAUAUUUUAUGGAUGAUUUCUGCAGAAAUCUUGCUUGUUUUGGAUUCUCUGUAAUUGAACAAAAAUUAUAGGCUCACAAAAAACAAAUGGAAGAGCACAAAAAUGGCUGUUUAAUACCAGGGCUUGUGUUCAAAGCAUAUGCUAGAAAAUAACAGGUGUUAACAGCAGAAGAAAUAAUGCACUCCUCAGACAGCUCUUAAUAAAUGUAGCAAACAAAAGUUCAUUAAAUAUAAAAUACGAAGCGUUCAGUAUGUUUUGAGGCACCAGUGUCUUCUGUACAAGACAGUUUUUGUUUGUGGAAGCAUUGAUUUUUUUAUUUUUUUUUAUUUUCCCCCCACUGUAUGCAGUCUGGAAUGCAACAGAAUUUGCAGCAGAAGAUCUGGAAAUAAGUAUCUCUGUAAUAACAACUCGAUGCUGCUGUUGUUGAAUUAGGUCCGAAAGACCUAUGUGUCAUAACCAAUGGGUCCCAAGAUGUGUGGAGGUCAGACUCUGAGAGUGUUAGAGUAUUAUUUUCUUGUAAAAAAUAUCUGCUUUGUUGAUUUCCAUCUGAUCAGAUGUAAGGUAUUACUUGUUCAUGCAAACCCUCCAGGAAGUUCAGAGCUGGAGCUUAACCAGCCUGUGCUUCUGAGGAAGAGAAAUUCGUAAGAAAAAGCAAAGGAAGAAAAUGUGAGCUCAGGUAUAGCAAUGAAUUAUUAAAACUAACUCAAAGUAAAUGCUUACAUAUUGGCCAGUAGUCAAUCACAGUUACAAUAGCUUUUGCAAAUAUAUUGAUUUAAAAUAAAACAAACCUCAGAAUAAAUCCACGUAUCUCAGAAAUGUGAGCUUCAAGACAUGUUUCAGGUGCACUAUGAUGAUUCCAGCCAAGAUCAGCUGAUUAUUCAGCUUUACCUGCAGCCAGCUAUUUGUCAGCUAAUACAGAUGUUGUUACAGUAUGUUUAGAAAUACUUUGGAGUGCUCACUUGAACAAAAUGUCAAUUUUGAGGAGGGAAAGAAAAACUCCUCGUAUUUUAGCGACAGUAACAAUCCACUGCAAGCAAGCAUCGCUUUAAUCCACAGUGAGGCAGUCAUGGCUCACCUAGUAUGAGUGACUGUAAAACCUUUAACUGUCCGCAGGGAUGAAAUGGAAGUUCUGCAAUGUGUAUCAGCAGUCCAGUUAGAAUCGUGGUUUGGAACUUCUUUCACACGUGUAUGUUAAAUCUGUCCGGUAGUAUUAAAUAUAGCCUUUUGGG
ensembl:lncRNA